rnacentral:tRNA from 1 species
GUGGCUGUGGCUCAGUGGUAGAGCACUUGCCUAGCAUGUGUGAGGCACUGGGUUCAAUUCUCAGCACCACA